ACCCACACCUCCCAUCAGCUAGCUCGCCCCCUAAAACCCAACAAACAAACAUUCACUAAACCCAAAUACCCUUAAAAAACAAAACAAAUCAUUUUUCCCCCUUAGUAUAGGUGACAGAAAAGGAUCAAAGACGCAAUAGAAAAAGUACCGCAAGGGAAAGCUGAAAGAGAAAUGAAAUAACCCAGUAAAGAGAGAAAAAGCAAAGACUACACCUUGUACCUUUUGCAUCAUGAAUUAGUUAGAAACCUUCAAGCAAAGAGCACUUUAGUUUGAACCCCCGAAACUGGACGAGCUACUCCAAGACUGCCUUUAAGGGCUAACCCGUCUCUGUAGCAAAAGAGUGGGGAGAGCUUAGAGUAGAGGUGAUAGACCUAACGAGCCCAGUUAUAGCUGGUUGCCUAUAAAAUGAAUAGAAGUUCAGCCUUUAAAUUUCUUUAUUCAACUACAAUUAAAAUAUCCACUGAUACUAAGAAAUUCAAAGAGUUAUUCAAAGGGGGUACACCCCCUUUGAAAAAAGACACAACUUUAUUAAGGAGGCUAAAGACCAAAGACUAACAAGGCAAAUACCUUAGUAGGCCUGAAAGCAGCCAUCCACACAGAAAGCGUUAAAGCUCAAGUACCAUGCCCACCCCUCAAAUCCCGACAAUAAAAUCUUAAACCCCUUUACCCAAUAAUAGGCCAACUUAUGUAAACAUAAGAAAGAUACUGCUAACCGGAGUAAUAAGGGGCCAAGACCCCCUCCAAGGCACCUGUUUAUAUCAGAACGAACUCACACUGAAAAUUAACGCUCCCAACCAAAGAGGGCAAUGAUAGAACCAAACUAACCUAGAAAACCUCUCAAACCCACAGCGUUGACCCCACACAGGUGUGCCCAAGGAAAGACUAACAGAAAGAGAAGGAACUCGGCAAACACCGGCCCCGCCUGUUUACCAAAAACAUCGCCUCUUGCAUACUUAAACGUAUAAGAGGUCCUGCCUGCCCUGUGACCUAAUAGUUUAACGGCCGCGGUAUCCCAACCGCGCGAAGGUAGCGAAAUCACUUGUUUUUUAAAUGGAGACCAGUAUGAACGGCUUUACGAGGGCCAAACUGUCUCCUCUUUCCAGUCAAUGAAAUUGAUCUUCCCGUGCAGAAGCGGGAAUAUCCACAUAAGACGAGAAGACCCUAUGGAGCUUUAGACAAAAGACAGCCCACUUAAAAGUUCACCAGACCAAUGAAAACAACAAAGUGGCCUCCUGUCCCUAUGUCUUUGGUUGGGGCGACCAUGGAGCAACAAAAAACCUCCACGUGGAAUGGGGACUACCCCCUCAAAGCCAGAGCCACAGCUCUCACAAACAGAAAAUCUGACCAAUAAGACCCGGCAUAUAAGCCGAUCAACGGAAUGAGUUACCCUAGGGAUAACAGCGCAAUCCUCUUUUAGAGCCCAUAUCGACAAGAGGGUUUACGACCUCGAUGUUGGAUCAGGACCCCCUAAUGGUGCAGCCGCUAUUAAGGGUUCGUUUGUUCAACGAUUAAAGUCCUACGUGAUCUGAGUUCAGACCGGAGAAAUCCAGGUCGGUUUCUAUCUAUGUAAUGCUCUUUUCUCGUACGAAAGGAUCGAAAAGAGGGGGCCCAUGCUCAAAGUAAACCCCACCCCCACCUAAUGAAAUCAACUAAACUAGAAAAAAGGGCAUAAACACACCCCUAAGAAAAAGGCAA
rnacentral:rRNA from 1 species